GCCCGGCUAGCUCAAUCGGUAGAGCGUGAGACUCUUAAAAAAAUGGGAUUCUCCGAUUUCAUCUCAAGGUUGUGGGUUCGACCCCCACGUCGGGCU